UUGAGUGCUGGUACAAACCAACAAAUAGUCAAACCAAGUCUAAGAUCGGAUCGAUAUCCCUGAACUUCUCGAACAAAUCCAUAGCCCUGUAAAUUGAACAAUUAUCUCAACCAAACUCCAUGCCAAAGUCCUCAUAAUCAUCAUCGUGCUAGUCAAAAUUUUCUAUGUACCCAAAAUUCAAGCAUUUUGCCGCUCUCUUGUUUUAGCUCUUAGAGGCUUGCUUUUCUUUGGCCUUCUGGAUUUUCAAAACUUUCUUAACAAUCUUCUGCUCUUCAACCAAAAAAGCUCGAAUGAUCCUACAAAACCAACUAGUGUAUUAGAACAUAUACAAGACGAGAGCAAUGUAAAUAAUCAAACUCGAUACAAGCCUGGCAAAUGAAGUGGUUACUGACCUUUCCCUGACAGCACUGCCUGAUAAAACUCCACCAUAAGCACGGUUCACAGUCCUCCGGUUUCUAGACAAUCUAGACCUCUUGUACUCAGCAGGUCUUAGGUGAGGAAUCUAAAAGUACAAAAUAGACAUCAUGCUUCCUCGUAUGUAGGCAACAAUUAAGAAGAGAAAUUAAUGCUACAGAAGCAACAUCUUAAGUUAUCCACUCAAAUAUUAAAACCUCAAAAACCUCCAAAGUUUCCAAAAUACAUCAUGCAACAAUAUGACAAAUCAGAGCAACAAAUAAUACACAUACUAAAUCGGCUAUAGGCGGAAACUAUAUAGUACUAGUCAAUUGGCACUGUUGAGAUCAAGACAAACCCCAGGCAGACAACAGUGAUAAACAAGCUCAAGUCAAUGUCCACUAACCUAAGCAAUUGCACAUUUGUUGCAAAACUGUCGCAUCAGAAAUGCAUUUUGAUAGGCAACUGACUAUUGGCCUACCAUGCACAUUAUUUUAAUAUGGUAUUUAAUGCAUAAAGCCCACUCUCAAAAAGGUCUAAAAAUAUUUUAUAAAUUUUAAACAGUUGCACACUUGACCACUAUUCACAUUCUCAUGCAUUCUUCUCUUCAUCACCAAGACUGCAAAAAGUAACUAGAUUAAUGAAGUUCAGAGAAUCAAAAAAGUAACCCACAGAAUGGAAUUUCAAUCCAUGAUUCGAGUAUGAGAAAGGAUCCUGAUAACAGGCACUCAUCCUUCAUUUAAGUAUAUGAUCCAAUGGAAAGAGUAUGACUAGAUUUCAGAACUAGAUAUGAGAUAUUCAAAAAGGCAGAGCACUAUCUGAGAAAAGAUAAACGACAAAGCAACUUUAGAAAAUGAUAUUUCUGAAAUUUAAAACUUUUCAAACACCAACCAGGUUCCCCAUAUGCCAUAAUUCAAAAAGAAUCUUAAUCACCUUAACUUGCGAGUCAUACGGUGUUCCACAAUUUCCAAAUAGGGAAACAAUUCUUCCUCUAUACCGUUUAAGAAAAAUCAAAAAGUACAUCAACCAAUUUCCACUCUACUCAAUUUUCAAUUACGUUUCUUUGGUCAUCCAGUAGAAGCAAUAGUUGAGAAAUAUAAACCAGUUAAAAAUAUCUCGCACAUCAUAUUCAAAACACCAAGAGCAGAAAGUUUGUUGAUCAAAUUCAAAGAAAUUGUUAAGUUUAUCUGCGUAACUGGUAAUAGAACAAAAAAGUUGAACUCUAAUGCUGCCAAGCAAGAUCAAAUAAAACAGUACACUAACUGCAUUUUAAGAAUGUAAUAUGGAAACCAAAAUGUUUUCCUAAACGACAAACAAAAUGCAAAGUAUAUUCCAAGAAGGCAUGUCAAAACGGAUUCCUACAAUAUGUAUGGUAACCUUAGUUAAAGUGCAGGGUUUCAAUGAAUAUAUGAAAUAUAAUGCUAAUAAAGACAGUAUCCAUGACAUUAAAAUCCAAAACAGGUCUUUGUAGUCUAGCUGAGGCCAUUUCCUGCAUGUAAAGAAUGAUAGUACACCUUGGACAUGGACAUGUUGAAUACUUCCAAUCAAAAUCGAUUCUUUUUUUUUUAUAAAAGGGGAAGGGGGGGUAUCAUCAUGGACAAAUCCCAUUAUGAUCACCACAUUUUCCUUCUUUUUAUGUUUUUAAGGAAAAUAACAGCUGUAUGUAUUAGAUAUAGGAUCUUUGAAUCUCUUCAUAGUUGAGAUCAAGAUUCGUUGUCUUAGUACUGGACCCCAUACCAGUACCAUUCUAUUAUAGUUUCGGUAUGCGGUACGGUAUGGUAAGAUUCAAAUACCGAGUAUUGGUAGGAUAUGGUACUCCAUACCGGUUCGGUAUCGAUAUUGUAUGGUACGCCUGGUACAAUAUGGUCCCAACGGUACGGCAAAUUUUGGUUGAGAUUUUUUUAAUAGAUAGAAGGGGGUAUAGUCAAAGAUUUAUCUGCAAAGAUUUUGCUUUUGCUUAGAUACAUGUUCAACAUUCAUAUUGCGUUAUAACAUGUUCCACGAUCAGAGUGGAGGGUAGAGAAUGUCUUGAACCUGUUUUCUUUUCUGACAUAGCCGACUUGUGGGUUGUGUUCACAGUAGACACACACAUGCAGAAAGAUUCAGUCAAGACUGGAUCAGAUGAACAUACGAGAUUUUAGGUGUUACAUGUGUUGAGCAAUAAGGAAAAGAUAAGCAAAGAGACGGAGAUAGAAUCUAUGUGAUGUGAUCUUCCUUUCCAAAAUACCCUGUCUAUAAUCAUUAUGAAUAAGGAUUAUCACGAGAAUUUUAAUUAGUUAUUCACCUAAAGGAAAAUUAUACAAACUUCAUAACCCCAACUUGUUGUUUAUAGAUGCACAUAGGGAUGGCAAUGGGUAAGAUCAUGCUUGAGUUCGAUCAAGUAAAGACAAGAACAUACAAAACCUUGACUCAACCCAACAACGGGUUGAGAUCUCUUGACGUAUACUCACCAACAGGUCAUUUCGGUUUACCCAUUUAAACCUAACUUAAUCUAUUUUGUACUCAAGUUCGUAAAAAAUCUAUGCUGACCUAUCAAAUCCAACAUUUACAGUUCUUGCCGCUUAAUUUGAAAAUCAUUUCACAACUGGUAUCCAAAAAAAGACUACUUAAUUCAAAAAUUCUUAUCCAAGAUCAUGACUCAACCAAACCUAAACUAUUUCUAUCCAAAUAGAACUGUAUCCUUAUGACUCAAGCCAUGUCAAAGCUUGGGCCAAUAUCUGACACAUUGAAAUUCCGGUAGAAAAUCUGAGUUGUAGCUGAUCCUAGCUAAAAGUCUUGACCUCAGGGUGGGGCAAUUUUUGCUGCCCCUAUAUGCAUACACUAGUAUAUACAUACAUACGUACAUGAAAAUACAUAGAAAUACCUUUGUUUUUUUAAAACAUGGUUCAUGGGGCUGCAUAUGAAUGUGCAUAAGCAAAUGUGGUGUGUCGACUGCACUGUAUUGCCUAAAUGUGGUUGUGAUAUACAACAUACCGCAUAUAUGCGGAACAAUGAAAAUGAAUUAGGUUAAGAAUGAUGGUCAGGUUUCAUAUGGGUUUACAUGGGCCCAUACAGUGUUAAUAAGGUUAUAUGGUGAUUAAGUUAUAAAUAUAACUAUUAGGUAUAAAGUAUCAACAAAUAAGCACUAGAUUUUAGUUGUUAUUGUUACUAAUAUGGCUACUAUUUAUCAAAAAUAGAUUACUACAACUAAUUUUGCUUUUGUUAUACUUCAUAUAUUUAAUUUAUUUAUAUAUAGUUAAAAAAGCAGCUGCACAAGCACCUGUUGUGC
rnacentral:lncRNA from 1 species